CCUACGGGAGGCAGCAGUGGGGAAUAUUGGACAAUGGGGGGAACCCUGAUCCAGCGACGCCGCGUGAGUGAAGAAGUAUUUCGGUAUGUAAAGCUCUAUCAGCAGGGAAGAAAGAAAUGACGGUACCUGACUAAGAAGCCCCGGCUAACUACGUGCCAGCAGCCGCGGUAAUACGUAGGGGGCAAGCGUUAUCCGGAUUUACUGGGUGUAAAGGGAGCGUAUACGGCGAUGCAAGUCUGAAGUGAAAGGCGGGGGCUCAACCCCUGGACUGCUUUGGAAACUGUAUGGCUGGAGUGCAGGAGAGGUAAGUGGAAUUCCUAGUGUAGCGGUGAAAUGCGUAGAUAUUAGGAGGAACACCAGUGGCGAAGGCGGCUUACUGGACUGUAACUGACGUUGAGGCUCGAAAGCGUGGGGAGCAAACAGGAUUAGAUACCCCAGUAGUC
rnacentral:rRNA from 1 species